rnacentral:rRNA from 1 species
GACGAACGCUGGCGGCGUGCUUAACACAUGCAAGUCGAACGGAAAGGCCCUGCUUUUGUGGGGUGCUCGAGUGGCGAACGGGUGAGUAACACGUGAGUAACCUGCCCUUAACUUUGGGAUAACUUCAGGAAACUGGGGCUAAUACCGGAUAGGAGCUCCUGCUGCAUGGUGGGGGUUGGAAAGUUUCGGCGGUUGGGGAUGGACUCGCGGCUUAUCAGCUUGUUGGUGGGGUAGUGGCUUACCAAGGCUUUGACGGGUAGCCGGCCUGAGAGGGUGACCGGCCACAUUGGGACUGAGAUACGGCCCAGACUCCUACGGGAGGCAGCGGUGGGGAAUAUUGCACAAUGGGCGGAAGCCUGAUGCAGCAACGCCGCGUGCGGGAUGACGGCCUUCGGGUUGUAAACCGCUUUCGCCUGUGACGAAGCGUGAGUGACGGUAAUGGGUAAAGAAGCACCGGCUAACUACGUG